rnacentral:rRNA from 1 species
GACGAACGCUGGCGGCGUGCUUAACACAUGCAAGUCGAACGGAAAGGCCCUGCUUGCAGGGUACUCGAGUGGCGAACGGGUGAGUAGCACGUGGGUGAUCUGCCCUGCACUUCGGGAUAAGCCUGGGAAACUGGGUCUAAUACCGGAUAGGAGCCAUUUUUAGUGUGAUGGUUGGAAAGUUUUUUCGGUGUAGGAUGAGCUCGCGGCCUAUCAGCUUGUUGGUGGGGUAAUGGCCUACCAAGGCGGCGACGGGUAGCCGGCCUGAGAGGGUGGACGGCCACAUUGGGACUGAGAUACGGCCCAGACUCCUACGGGAGGCAGCAGUGGGGAAUAUUGCACAAUGGGCGCAAGCCUGAUGCAGCGACGCCGCGUGGGGGAUGACGGCCUUCGGGUUGUAAACGCCUUUCGCUAGGGACGAAGCUUUUUGUGACGGUACCUAGAGAAGAAGCACCGGCUAACUACGUG